rnacentral:rRNA from 1 species
AACGAACGCUGGCGGCAUGCCUAACACAUGCAAGUCGAACGAGACCUUCGGGUCUAGUGGCGCACGGGUGCGUAACGCGUGGGAACCUGCCCUUAGGUUCGGAAUAACUCCCCGAAAGGGGUGCUAAUACCGGAUAAUGUCUUCGGACCAAAGAUUUAUCGCCUUUGGAUGGGCCCGCGUUGAAUUAGCUAGUUGGUAGGGUAAAAGCCUACCAAGGCGACGAUCCAUAGCUGGUCUGAGAGGAUGAUCAGCCACACUGGGACUGAGACACGGCCCAGACUCCUACGGGAGGCAGCAGUGGGGAAUAUUGGACAAUGGGCGAAAGCCUGAUCCAGCAAUGCCGCGUGAGUGAUGAAGGCCUUAGGGUUGUAAAGCUCUUUUACCCGGGAUGAUAAUGACAGUACCGGGAGAAUAAGCUCCGGCUAACUCCGUG